CUGCGGCUGCCAUGUUGAGUGAGGGCAGCCCGACAGGAUCUCGGUGGUGCCGCCUUAUGAGGUGGUUUGACUUCUAAUUCUUGAGGGCUAGGGUAACGCUUUUUUGCAUAGGAAAUUGUUUAUCGUAAGAUUUUGCUCCUUUGAAGUUUACGGGGAAGCAGUCUGAUCCUGUAUUUAUGAUCCCACAAUCCUGUUUUCAAAUCCGUCUCUGGAACAGACGGGGCGAUCACCGUUCCACCUUUCACGUCUCUGUGUGACCAGAGGGUAAACAUCUUGAACUUCAGAGUCUGCAAGCCACCUGAUCCCGGGGGAGUCCCCAGGGCCUGUCUGCGUACAGCUGAAACCUCAGUUCUUAAGCGUCGGGAUCUGCCAGAGUUCCCUCCUUCAAAGAGUAGGAGUAGGAGACCACCCAGAAAUGAGGGCUGAAUACUACGACGUCAACAUUCCCUGUGCUGCUUGCAACCCAUCAGCCAAAGGCUUCUCAAUAGCUCCCUUUCUGAGAAGGUGCUGCUGCUGAAAACUCAAAAAUGACUGGGAUAAAAAAUUUCCCUGUUCAAUCAGAGCAAAAAUCUGCCCUCUUGAAAUACAAUUCUGCUUUAUCUGAUUUUCCUUUCGAUGGAAGGAGAGGCACACAGUUUUUUCUUAUUGUGACCUAUUUUUGGCAAUCCAGGAAGGAUCUUGUUGAAAGCCUCUGAAAGCUCUGACAACAGCCCAGUUCAUCGGCACAGGCGUGAAGAACUGCACACAGAGAAGGAACAGCCUUCCUACUAUGGUUGUGUCCAGAGCCGGC